rnacentral:rRNA from 1 species
GUAGGGAAUAUUGGGCAAUGGUCGGAAGACUGACCCAGCCAUGCCGCGUGCAGGAAGACGGCCCUCUGGGUUGUAAACUGCUUUUAUCUGGGAAGAAAAAGGCCAUGCGUGGCAAAUUGCCGGUACCAGAUGAAUAAGCACCGGCUAACUCCGUGCCAGCAGCCGCGGUAAUACGGAGGGUGCGAGCGUUGUCCGGAGUUAUUGGGUUUAAAGGGUGCGUAGGCGGCUGAUUAAGUCAGCGGUGAAAGACUUCGGCUUAACCGGAGCAGUGCCGUUGAUACUGGUUGGCUUGAGUGUCGGAGGGGUACAUGGAAUUGAUGGUGUAGCGGUGAAAUGCAUAGAUACCAUCAGGAACACCGAUAGCGAAGGCAUUGUACUGGCCGACAACUGACGCUGAUGCACGAAAGUGUGGGGAUCGAACAGGAUUAGAAACCCGGGUAGUCC